GACGGACUUGCUGGGACCUCCCUCUCCAGAGCCUGGGGUGGCACUGCACCUCCGCAUUCCAAACUGGGGGUUGAAAAGCAGAUGGAACCAAGGCUAGGCCGGAGCUGGAGACAAGACAAUGAGUGGAUCUUGAGAACAGAGCCUGUGGCUUCCCAGACUCUAAGCCUUUUAAGGCCCCUGGACCUUUGAGCUGAGCUGGAGGCAGAAGUGAGGAAAGGGGGAAAGGCGAGAUCUACUGGCUUCAGGUUCAAGUAGGGCGGCGGACCCAGCCCCGUGACUUCAAAUAGCUGAAUGUAUUAGUUCAAACUCAUCUUAACAAAAUGUAAUUGUAGCUAGUUAGAAAUUGUAAUAUUUUAUAGUUCUGGUUCAGGUAUUGGGGAUUCCCAAGGAAGCCCCGACACCUGAUCAGGUACACGAUGCAGAAUGAAGUCAAAGAUAACCAGUAAGUGAAACGAGGCCCGGAGGUCAGAGAUUGUACUGAGCAGAGACCCUGAAGCCCAGACUUGCCGAUAUUUCCUGAGCACCAAGCAGCAUCGGGGAGUGUAUAGUCAGAUAUGUGGUGUGACAAAUAAAGACGAACAAGGCCUAGCAAGAACGGAACAAAGCAUUCUUGCAAGAAGUGGGUCUCAGAAGGAUGCAUGUGAUUGCAUUUGAGUCCUCGCUGAGCAUCCAGGACAGUGGUGGUGAACCGGUGACACCCACGGCACAGCAGGCUGUUUGUAUCAUUGAGAGCUCUGAUUGGAGCAUCGCUGAUCUCGGACAAUACGUCCUCAUCUCCAGAUUGCUAAUUGAGGCAUUUGGGAGAACAAGGCAGGAGCUGGCCACAAGUUUGAGGAGAGUCUGGUGGGGCUGGCCUGUCUGUAACACAGUCCCAGCCCUUGUUGAUCUCCCACUUUGACAAGUCCAGGUCGACCCUGGGGAGACUUGGCCCCUCCCGAAGCCAGAGGCAGUGUGACAGAGAAGCCAGCUUUACAAAAGUCAAGUGGUCACUCAAGGUCCUGAGGUCAGUGGAGAAGACCUGGGCAUCCAGCUCAGGCCUACGGGGUGAAUAAGUGGCAAAUGGACACAGUGUUCUGCAGCGUGCUGGCACGUGGCCAGCGCCACCAGCUGUCAUUAGAAUAUAGCAAUAUUGUGCCUGCAGAUCUAACACCAGCCGGGUGAGCGCCCUUAGCCCUGGGGUACCCACUGUCCUCUAGGGAGGCUGCCCUGGCAAAUGAGCUGUUACUGUUUAGAUAGGUGUGAAACCUCAUGUGAUCACAGGUGGGACUUUUGGAAGGCAAUCAGAUUAUGGGGGAUCAUAACUGACUUUCUGUUGGGAGGGAAGGCCUAGGUCAUGGUGUGUGUGUGUGGGGUGAUCCGGAAGGGUUUAUCUGCUCCAGCUCUCUCUGCUUUCCACUGCCCUGCCCCCCUGCCAGGCUGCCCUGCCUUGGAGCCCGAACUGUGGACUGAAAUGUUUGUCAGCUGUGAGCCCAAAUAACCCUUUCCUUCUUUAAGUGGCAGGUGUCAGGUAUUUUGUCUUAGCAAUGAAGAAAGUCACUAAGACGGGAGCAGAGCCCAGGGGCACCUCCUCUUUGCCCGAAGGGAGGCCAGGAAGGGACAGCAGGAGUGGCCAUGCUGCCACACAAUGGGCCAUGAGCACAGCGGGAAGAGAGGACGCUGCCAGGCCAGCCCGUGGCUGGCGGGACCCGGUGGACCUGGGUCUUCAGUAGCCCGUAAACCAAACAAAUGCAUAUUUGAUGGAAUAAAGUUCCAGAGGAUGAGGCGCUUGUGGGCCUGAUGGUGAAAUGCAGCGGCCGUCUGACCCCACGGAGGGAUAAAUCUGCUGGGCUUUCCAGCCGGAGACAUGGAAACUGCUUUGCCGUCUGAGCCUCUCCGAGUGUGGAGAGGGUAUCUUCUGUCAGGUGGAGCACUGGAUCCUACCGUCUCCUGGCCACAUCUCCCCUCCGCCCCGGCACAGCUGCGUGGCUGGAAUGACAGAGGUCGGCACUGAGUGGGAGGGG
ensembl:lincRNA